AGAGUUUGAUCAUGGCUCAGAGCGAACGUUAGCGGCGUGCCUAACACAUGCAAGUCGAGCGAGAGACUUCGGUCUCUACCGACGGACGGGUGAGUAACACGUGGGUAACCAGCCUCAUAGAGGGGGAUAGCCUCCCGAAAGGGAGAUUAAUACCGCAUAACAUCAUGCUUUCGCAUGGAAGUAUGAUCUACGGAGUAAUCCGCUAUGAGAUGGACCCGCGGCGCAUUAGAUAGUUGGUGAGGUAAAGGCUCACCAAGGCGACGAUGCGUAGCCUACCUGAGAGGGUGAUCGGCCACUUUGGAACUGAGACACGGUCCAGACUCCUACUGAAGGCAGCAGUGGGGAAUAUUGCACAGUGGGCGAAAGCCUGAUGCAGCAACGCCGCGUGAGUGAUGAAGGCCUUCGGGUUGUAAAGCUCUGUCUUUUGGGACGAUAAUGACCGUACCAAAGGAGGAAGCCACUGCUAACUACGUGCCAGCAGCCGCGGUAAUACGUAGGUGGCAAGCGUUGUCCGGAUUUACUGGGCGUAAAGGAUGCGUAGGUGGAUAUUUAAGUGGGAUGUGAAAUACCCGGGCUUAACCUGGGUAGUGCAUUCCAAACUGGAUAUCUGGAGUGCAGGAGAGGUAAGUGGAAUUCCUAGUGUAGCGGUGAAAUGCGUAGAGAUUAGGAAGAACACCAGUGGCGAAGGCGACUUUCUGGACUGUAACUGACACUGAGGCAUGAAAGCGUGGGGAGCAAACAGGAUUAGAUACCCUGGUAGUCCACGCCGUAAACUAUGGGUACUAGUUGUGGGAGGUAUCGACCCCUUCCGUUCCGCCGUUAACACAAUAAGUACCCCGCCUGGGGAGUACGGUCGCAAGAUUAAAACUUAAAUGAAUUGACGG
rnacentral:rRNA from 1 species